rnacentral:rRNA from 1 species
AGUGAACGCUGGCGGUAGGCCUAACACAUGCAAGUCGAACGGCAGCACAGUAAGAGCUUUCUCUUACGGUUGGCGAGUGGCGGACGGGUGAGGAAUACAUCGGAUUCUACUUUUUCUUGGGUGAUAACGUAGGGAAACUUACGCUAAUACCGCAUACGACCUACGGGUUAAAGCAGGGGAUCUUCGGACCUUUCGCGAUUGAAUGAGCCGAUGUCGGAUUAGCUAGUUGGCGGGGUAAAGGCCCACCAAGGCAACGAUCCGUAGCUGGUCUGAGAGGAUGAUCAGCCACACUGGAACUGAGACACGGUCCAGACUCCUACGGGAGGCAGCAGUAGGGAAUAUUGGACAAUGGGCGCAAGCCUGAUCCAGCCAUACCGCGUGAGUGAAGAAGGCCUUCGGGUUGUAAAGCCCUUUUGUUGGGAAAGAAAAGCAGCAGGUUAAUACCCCGCUGUUCUGACGGUACCCAAAGAAUAAGCACCGGCUAACUUCGUG